rnacentral:lncRNA from 1 species
UCUAUGCAUUAGGAUAUUGAGAGAAAAAGAGAGAGUAUGAGUUGGGAUCCACCUCCUCAGAAAACUUCUAUCAAAGAGCCUUCAGUUCCAUAUUCAAGUCCUGCAUACUGAUGAAACUACUGACUCAGCUGGUUUGAACAAUCCCCACAGAUGCCAGCUGAUCUGAAGGACCACACAGGAGCUGACUUACCAAAGAGUACAGUCUCUAUAUCCUGAUGAUUUCAUCCCCUAUUCCCCUCUCAAUCAAUCACCCCAAUUUCCCAGCCCCCUUCCAUCCACAAUCCCUUUAAAAAGUCCUGUGGGAGAUGGAUUUGAGGGACUUCUCCCACCUCCUCCCUUGGCACCCUGUGAUAACUAAACUCUUCCUCUGCUGCAAACCCUGCCAUCUCAUUGUAAUGGGGCUGUUACUGUGCAGUGGGCAUUCGAACUUGUUGGUCCUAUAACACUGACUCACCUAGAGCAACUUCAGGUCCUGCAAGCUCCAUUCAUGGUAAGUGUCUUAUACAAGUGUACCAUUUUUAUCCUUUAUACUUUACUUUUCUAUGUAAAGAAAAGUAACUUUUCUUUUUACUUUACCAUACUUUUACUUUUCUAUGUUUAUAUAUGUUUAGAUACACAAACACCAUUGUGUUACAAUUGCCAAUUUAUACAUGUUCGUAGAAAACUAUUUUCUUUAAAGAUUUUUACUUAUUUGUAUGCAAGUUAUUUGAAG